ACCCGCUGAACUUAAGCAUAUCAAUAAGCGGAGGAAAAGAAACCAACAGGGAUUGCCCUAGUAACGGCGAGUGAAGCGGCAACAGCUCAAAUUUGAAAUCUGGCGUCUUUGGCGUCCGAGUUGUAAUUUGCAGAGGGCGCUUUGGCAUCGGCAGCGGUCCAAGUUCCUUGGAACAGGACGUCACAGAGGGUGAGAAUCCCGUACGUGAUCGCUAGCCUUUACCGUGUAAAGCCCCUUCGACGAGUCGAGUUGUUUGGGAAUGCAGCUCUAAAUGGGAGGUAAAUUUCUUCUAAAGCUAAAUACUGGCCAGAGACCGAUAGCGCACAAGUAGAGUGAUCGAAAGAUGAAAAGCACUUUGGAAAGAGAGUUAAAAAGCACGUGAAAUUGUUGAAAGGGAGGCGCUUGCAGCCAGACUUGCCUGUAGUUGCUCAUCCGGGUUUUUACCCGGUGCACUCUUCUAUAGGCAGGCCAGCAUCAGUUUGGGCGGUUGGAUAAAGGUCUCUGUCAUGUACCUCUCUUCGGGGAGAACUUAUAGGGGAGACGACAUGCAACCAGCCUGGACUGAGGUCCGCGCAUCUGCUAGGAUGCUGGCGUAAUGGCUGU
rnacentral:rRNA from 1 species